AAGUCGUAACAAGGUAUCUGUAGGUGAACCUGCAGAUGGAUCAUCACUGAUUCUUUAACCUGGCGAAGAGCGCAAGCUUUUCUGCCACAAGAUGUGGCUCCGCAUCUUUAAAUAUUGGGCUACCACUUUACACACGGUUGCAUAGGUCGGUGCUUCGGCAUCGAUUCACACACACACACACGCUGAACAGUAGUUACAUGAAUGAAUCAUGACCAUGUGGUCAUUUAACAAAUAAACAACUUUUGGCAACGGAUCUCUUGGUUCUCC
rnacentral:misc_RNA from 1 species